AUGGGAGGAGGCCCGAGAUGCGCGCUCCUGCUGCUCGCCGCGGCCGCCGCUUGCGCGGCGCUUGUCCCCGCGGCGUGGGCGCAGGGCUCGACCGCGCCCGCGCCCUCGGGGGCCCCCUUCGUGCCGCGGGACGACAUCCUGCUCGACUGCGGCGCCACGGGGAAGGGCAACGACACGGACGGCCGGGAGUGGCGCGGCGACGCCAGCUCCAAGUACGCGCCGCCGAACCUCGCCUCGGCCGACGCGGGGGCGCAGGACCCCUCGGUGCCGCAGGUGCCCUACCUCACUGCGCGGGUCUCCGCGGCGGCCUUCACCUACUCCUUCCCGCUCGGCCCCGGCCGCAAGUUCCUCCGGCUGCACUUCUACCCGGCCAACUACUCCAACCGCGACGCGGCCGACGCCUUCUUCUCCGUCUCCGUCCCGGCCGCCAAGGUCACGCUCCUCUCCAACUUCAGCGCCUACCAGACCGCCACGGCCCUCAACUUCGCCUACCUCGUACGGGAGUUCUCCGUCAACGUCACUGGCCCGACCCUCGACCUCACCUUCACCCCGGAGAAGGGACGCCCCAACGCCUACGCCUUCAUCAACGGCAUCGAGGUCGUCUCCUCUCCGGAUCUCUUUGACCUCGCCACACCGUUCUUCGUCACCGGUGACGGCAACAACCAGCCAUUCCCGAUGGAUCCCGGUGCUGCUCUGCAGACCAUGUAUCGGCUCAACGUCGGAGGCCAGGCGAUCUCCCCUUCCAAGGACUCCGGCGGGGCUCGGUCAUGGGACGACGACACGCCUUACAUUUAUGGUGCAGGGGCUGGGGUAACGUACCCGAACGAUCCCAAUGUCACAAUCACCUAUCCUGACAGUGUGCCGGGAUAUAUGGCGCCUUCGGAUGUCUAUGCCACGGCCCGAUCAAUGGGGAUAGACAAGAAUGUGAACUUGGCCUACAAUCUCACCUGGAUAGUGCAGGUGGAUGCUGGGUUCACAUACCUUGUGAGGCUCCAUUUCUGUGAGAUACAAUCCCCAAUUGAUAAGCCAAAUCAGCGGGUGUUCAACAUUUACCUCAACAACCAGACUGCCGUGGAAGGUGCUGAUGUGAUCCAGUGGGUGGAUCCGCUUAGUACUGGCACCCCAUUGUAUAAGGAUUAUGUGGUCGGCACUGUGGGUUCAGGGAUUAUGGAUUUCUGGGUGGCUCUUCAUCCGGAUAUACGGAACAAGCCACAGUACUAUGAUGCUAUUCUCAAUGGGAUGGAGGUGUUCAAGCUGCAACUUAGUAAUGGGAGCCUCGCGGGGCCAAACCCUGUCCCAAGUGCUGAUCCACAGGCGCAUACCGGGCAAGGGAAGAAGAAAUCACUAGUCGGGCCUAUUGCUGGUGGAGUAAUUGGAGGUUUGGCAGUGCUUGCACUUGGAUAUUGCUGCUUCAUUUGCAAGAGGCGGAGGAAAGCGGCCAAGGAUACUGGCAUGAGUGAUGGCCAUUCUGGUUGGCUGCCGUUGUCGCUGUAUGGCAAUUCACACACUUCAAGCUCAGCCAAGUCGCAUGCUACAGGGAGUAUUGCUUCAUCUUUGCCAUCGAACCUGUGUCGCCAUUUCAGCUUUGCAGAGAUCAAGGCUGCAACGAAAAACUUUGACGAGUCACGGAUCCUUGGUGUUGGUGGGUUCGGUAAAGUUUACCAGGGCGAGAUCGAUGGGGGCACAACUAAGGUGGCUAUCAAGCGUGGCAAUCCCUUGUCUGAGCAGGGUAUACAUGAGUUCCAGACUGAAAUUGAAAUGCUGUCAAAGCUCCGCCACCGCCAUCUUGUGUCGCUGAUUGGUUACUGCGAGGACAAGAAUGAGAUGAUCCUGGUCUAUGACCACAUGGCUCAUGGAACUCUGCGUGAGCACCUAUACAAGACCCAGAAUGCACCGCUUAGCUGGAGGCAGCGUUUGGAGAUCUGCAUUGGUGCAGCUCGUGGGCUGCACUACCUUCACACCGGUGCAAAGCACACCAUUAUCCACCGUGAUGUGAAGACAACAAACAUCCUACUGGAUGAGAAAUGGGUCGCCAAGGUUUCAGAUUUUGGUCUGUCCAAGACUGGGCCAUCGAUGGAUCAUACACAUGUGAGCACAGUUGUCAAGGGCAGUUUUGGUUACCUAGAUCCUGAAUACUUCCGCAGGCAGCAGCUCACCGAGAAAUCUGAUGUCUAUUCGUUUGGUGUGGUGCUGUUCGAGGUCCUCUGUGCUCGGCCUGCCUUGAACCCGACUCUUGCAAAGGAAGAAGUUAGCCUGGCAGAAUGGGCAUUGCACUGCCAGAAGAAGGGAAUUCUGGAUCAGAUUGUUGAUCCCUACCUAAAGGGAAAGAUUGUUCCGCAGUGCUUCAAGAAGUUUGCCGAGACAGCUGAGAAGUGCGUUGCCGACAAUGGCAUCGAGCGCCCUUCGAUGGGAGAUGUGCUUUGGAAUUUGGAGUUUGCUCUUCAGAUGCAGGAAAGUGCGGAGGAGAGCGGAAGCUUUGGCUGUGGGAUGUCGGAUGAGGGCACUCCCCUGGUGAUGGCUGGAAAGAAGGAUCCCAAUGACCCAUCGAUCGAUUCAAGCACCACCACGACCACGACAACUUCCCUAAGCAUGGGCGACCAAAGUGUCGCGAGCAUCGACUCGGACGGGCUGACGCCGAGCGCCGUGUUCUCACAGAUCAUGAACCCCAAGGGGCGGUGA
rnacentral:rRNA from 1 species